UUAAGCAGACAGACACGUGCCCACCUGCAGAAUGAAACUUCCACAGGCACAGAGCUGCCAUCAUGAUUCCUGUCUCCUCUCUACUGGAGCAGCAAAAGAGUUUUGACUGGGGCAUCACUGGAUGUUGAGGGGUUUUACGGUGUAUUCCUUAACACCUUUACUGAUGUGGCCUCUGCUUCUGUGACCCCAUGUUUCUAUUUCUUUCCAAUCACCAUGGAUUUAUUUAGCUCCAAAAUCUGCAAACCACUGAACAACAAAUUACUGAAGGUGAAUGCAGGAGGCCUACCAGUUAUGUGCCCCAACCCUAGGACAACAAUCUGAGAACUGUCAGCCCGUACUGGAUGGGGCCAACACACGGGUGCAAGGUAGUGAACCCCGGAGAAAACAGCGAGGGAGAGACAAGCGGCAGAGGCUUCGGAGCAGGGUGACCUCCCCGAGGGCCAGGACAUGGGGGCCAGGACACGGCCGCCAGCUGGGGCCUCC